rnacentral:rRNA from 1 species
AACGUAGGAGACGAGCGUUAUCCGGAUUUACUGGGCGUAAAGGGCGCGUAGGCGGCCACCGCAAGUCAGUUGUGAAAUCUCUGGGCUUAACCCAGAAAGGUCAACUGAUACUGCGGGGCUAGAGUGCAGAAGGGGCAACUGGAAUUCUCGGUGUAGCGGUGAAAUGCGUAGAUAUCGAGAGGAACACCUGCGGCGAAGGCGGGUUGCUGGGCUGACACUGACGCUGAUGCGCGAAAGCUAGGGGAGCGAACAGG